AGUGGCUGCCCUGAGAUCUGAUUUUAAUUGCUGUUUGCCCUGCGUCUCUAAAUGCAUCCCUGCAUUAACUAAAGCUGAUGAUCAAUUUUAAUAUUACUAUAUAAUAUUCUUAUAUAUAUAGUAUAUCCUGGUCAAGCUAGAGAAAACCAUGUGUACCAAUGUAUGUUAAUUAAACUUAACGAUGCAAGUGCUAUUCCCUACGUUAUAAGAGUCAGCGAUUAAACUUGUAAAAUGCGAAACACGUUUAUGGGAAUCUUAUAAUAAAUUACUUAUCUGGCUUUGUAACUUACUCAAAA